AAAAACUCCGGUGGUAUGGGAUGGGCCCGCGUCUGAUUAGCCAGUUGGCGGGGUAACGGCCCACCAAAGCGACGAUCAGUAGCCGACCUGAGAGGGUGACCGGCCACAUUGGGACUGAGACACGGCCCAAACUCCUACGGGAGGCAGCAGUGGGGAAUAUUGCACAAUGGGGGGAACCCUGAUGCAGCGACGCCGCGUGAGCGAAGAAGUAUCUCGGUAUGUAAAGCUCUAUCAGCAGGGAAGAAAAAUGACGGUACCUGACUAAGAAGCCCCGGCUAACUACGUGCCAGCAGCCGCGGUAAUACGUAGGGGGCAAGCGUUAUCCGGAUUUACUGGGUGUAAAGGGAGCGCAGGCGGCGCGGCAAGUCUGAUGUGAAAGCCCGGGGCUCAACCCCGGGACUGCAUUGGAAACUGUCGCGCUCGAGUGUCGGAGAGGUAAGUGGAAUUCCUAGUGUAGCGGUGAAAUGCGUAGAUAUUAGGAGGAACACCAGUGGCGAAGGCGGCUUACUGGACGACAACUGACGCUGAGGCUCGAAAGCGUGGGGAGCAAACAGGAUUAGAUACCCUGGUAGUCCACGCUGUAAACGAUGAAUACUAGGUGUCGGGGGGCACAGCCCCCCG
rnacentral:rRNA from 1 species